CUAAAAAGACUCCGUAUUUUUUCAGGAUACCACGAUUUACCAGGGGUAGCUCCGCCUUUUAAAAAAUGGCCGAAACUAGCAAGGCUGCCCCCACUACAGUACAUCCAAAUGGAGCAACAAGUACUUGGAGCAACAGCAACAUUAAGUUGCAUCAAGGGUUCUUUGAUAGGGCAAACAGGGCUUCAUUCCCUCUACAUCUAAAAGGAAGAAAGAGAGAUGUUUUAUUUUAUAAGGGGAUGGUGUUUUUGUCAAUGGUCGGCUUGGCAAUUUCUUUUGGGGGUCUGUACAAGAUGGCCAAUGGGACAAUAUCAAAGAAAGGAACAACAUGAAACUAUAAUACAUUUUUCACUCAUGCACUGUACUGUGUUACAUACUUUAAAGGGCGUUAUAGUUCUGUUAUUUAUUUUAUUGAUUAAUCAAUAUUUGCAUGUAUGAUAA